rnacentral:rRNA from 1 species
UACGUAGGGUGCGAGCGUUGUCCGGAAUUAUUGGGCGUAAAGAGCUUGUAGGCGGUUUGUCGCGUCUGCCGUGAAAUUUCGAGGCUCAACCUCGAACUUGCGGUGGGUACGGGCAGACUAGAGUGUGGUAGGGGAGACGUGGAAUUCCUGGUGUAGCGGUGAAAUGCGCAGAUAUCAGGAGGAACACCGAUGGCGAAGGCAGGUCUCUGGGCCACUACUGACGUGAGGACGAAGCGUGGGGAGCGAACAGGA